CCUGACAAAAUAAUGCAAAUUUGAAGAGUUCAUAAACAUAAAAAGAACUAACUACUAAUUAAGGUAUAGACUAGAAGAAAUAAUAAAAAUUAAAAUGUAAUAUAAUACUUAGCUACCUACGUUUCGCUACUUCAUACUGAACUGAACCGGAGCCUGACAAUGCACCACACGACCUUUUUCUGAUUAUGUAAAACGCCAUGAAUAGAAUAGAAUUGAUCACAUCUCACAAGGAAGGAGGAGUGAUAUCGCCAAGAAGAAAUUACUGUCUCAAUGCGUAAAAUAUUACUCUACGAAGCAAGAAGGCUAAGAAUAAAGAAAGAAAAGAAAGCAAAACAUAAACGCAAGACGCAAAUAGUAGUUCACGACACGACAAGUUCAUCAGUAUCAUGGGAUUAUCGACAUUGGACUUGAAAUCUCAGUUGCAGUUCCGGUAUUGGAUUGACGACAGCAGUCAACUAUCGAUGAACACUGAUUUGAAGAUGCUUGACGUUCUACAGAGGAAGCAAGAAAAUAAUAAUUAGAGUUAUUUACAGAUUAAAACAUAGUAGUUAUGCACUUUUAUUCAAAUUAAUAUUGUUUACUGAUCAGUAAUAAUAACAUAACCCAAGACUUGUAGCAGCUUAUGCUGAACCUCAUCAUGGCUCUUUUGUUUUUUUUUCUUUAUUUUUCAUUUUCUAAUAUUAAUUUAGUGAACAUAAAAUGCAAGCUACUCGGAUAUUUAGGUGACUUAGGACUGAUUUCUUAAUCGUUGAAUAUCUGCUAAAGAAUAAACAUUUUGACAUAUCUCAUACUAUUCUUCAGUUAAAAGUUAUACGACGAUUGAGAAAUCAGCCCAUAAGUUUUUUUUAAAACUGAGGUGGAAUUGUGUAAAGCAAUCGUUAUCAUUUGACAGUUACGUACGUAACAUAACGUACGAUUAUUCUGUCAAACACUUUAACUGAUUUUAUCGUACGUUAUGAACUGUCAAAUGAUUACGAUUGCUUUACACAAUUCCACCUCUGAUCCAGAUUCUUUUUUAUAUUUUCA